UGGCGGCCUUAGCGCGGUGGUCCCACCUGAGCCCAUGCCGAACUCAGAAGUGAAACGCCGUAGCGCCGAUGGUAGUGUGGGGUCUCCCCAUGCGAGAGUAGGGAACUGCCAGGCA
rnacentral:rRNA from 1 species